CCUACGGGCGGCAGCAGUGAGGAAUAUUGGUCAAUGGCCGUAAGGCUGAACCAGCCAAGUCGCGUGAGGGAAGAAGGAUCUAUGGUUUGUAAACUUCUUUUAUAGGGGAAUAAAGGUAUCCACGUGUGGAUAUUUGCAUUUACCCUAUGAAUAAGCAUCGGCUAACUCCGUGCCAGCCGCCGCGGUAAGACGGAGGAUGCGAGGGUUAUCCGGAUUUCUUGGGUUUAAAGGGUGCGUAGGUUGUUUUUUAAGUCAGCGGUGAAAGUUUGUGGCUCAACCAUAAAAUUGCCGUUGAAACUGGAAGACUUGAGUGUGUUUGAGGUAGGCGGAAUGCGUGGUGUAGCGGUGAAAUGCAUAGAUAUCACGCAGAACACCGAUUGCGAAGGCAGCUUACUAAGCCAUAACUGACACUGAAGCACGAAAGCGUGGGGAUCAAACAGGAUUAGAUACCCCUGUAGUC
rnacentral:rRNA from 1 species